rnacentral:lncRNA from 1 species
ACCUUGGAAAGCUUGGAUCAAAACUCUGGUGACUGCGCACCAAGGAGCAGACCAUUUUCCAGGCAGAAGCCCUGCAAGGUGGAAGGAUCCUGAAGACAGCAUGGUGUGAAAAAGGGGUGCAGACUGGAGCUCCUCGCAGUAGUCGAAGGCACAGCAUCCACAGGAGCCUCUGACUUAAAUCGCUCCCUUCCCCUCCCGCCUCCCCCAAGGGCAAUCAUUCUACCAGGCAGGCGAAAUAUGCUUUGUGCAUAUCUCACUGCUCUGUGGGUGUUUUUAGUUCACAUAAAUUUUUAAGACCAUUUUGCUCAGAUCCAGAAGCAAAUGAAAUUGAGUUUCUAAGUAGAACUGCAUUAAA